AGGUGUGGGUUUCCUUCCUUGGGAUCCGUGCCGUAGCUAACGCAUUAAGUACCCCGCCUGGGGAGUACGGCCGCAAGGCUAAAACUCAUAGGAAUUGACGGGGGCCCGCACAAGCGGCGGAGCAUGUGGAUUAAUUCGAUGCAACGCGAAGAACCUUACCUGGGUUUGACAUGCACAGGACGCGUCUAGAGAUAGGCGUUCCCUUGUGGCCUGUGUGCAGGUGGUGCAUGGCUGUCGUCAGCUCGUGUCGUGAGAUGUUGGGUUAAGUCCCGCAACGAGCGCAACCCUUGUCUCAUGUUGCCAGCACGUAAUGGUGGGGACUCGUGAGAGACUGCCGGGGUCAACUCGGAGGAAGGUGGGGAUGACGUCAAGUCAUCAUGCCCCUU
rnacentral:rRNA from 1 species